rnacentral:rRNA from 1 species
AUGGCCAUCUUCGACGAGUUCUUUGUGGGAUCCAUUGACCUCGGCUGCCCCAAUUUCGGGAUCAUCUCGCUCAUCCCGAAAGUGCCUCGGGCGUCCGACAUCCGACAGUUUCAUCCGAUCACGGUGAUAAACGUGAUCUUCUGUAUCCUGGCGAAAGGGUACCCUAAUAGGGUGACCCUGCUUGCGAAUCGCAUCACCCACCCCAAUCAAUCGGCCUUCAUCCAAGGACGCUAUAACCUUGACGGGGUUCUCGUCCUCCACGAAGCCCUCCAUGAGGUCCGCGCUAAACACCUCAAGGCAGUCCUCUUGAAGAUUGAUUUCCAUAAGGCCUACGAUAUAGUCAGCUGGACUUUCCUUCGGGAGGUUUUGCUCUGA